UUGGAGAGACUGUACUACAACUGCUGUUUUGCCAGAGGAAGGGAUAACCAAUUGAACAACAAAGAGUCUCAAGUGUUCAAGUCGUCUUGGGUAUAAGAAAAUGGCAUCACGGGCAUUUUUACAACCUUACAGGUGAGAGUGUUUUCAAUGCAGCAAGGUAGAAUCAAAGCAACGUGGCUGAUASUUUGUUCCUGGUUCUCCAGCAUCUCAAAGCAUAACAGGGCAACUGGAUAGACAUGAAGGGCACAGAGGAGUGUUAUUUCUCCUACAGUCUCUACAAUGGCUGGUCGUUCCAGUGUUGUCACCAACAGCUCAGUGCCCCUGUUUCACAGUGGCCGUGUUAGGACAUUACAACCAACAACUGAGCAAUGACGUUUAAUCCUUUCUCAGUGUUAUGAAGCAAGCAGAUUGCAAAAGGGCCUGACUCUGUAAAUGUGUGGCUGAAAACAUGCACGUGUAUGCUGGAUGGGACCGGACAUAUUCCAAUGAACUCUUCAUGACACUUUUCUAACUUUAUGAAAUUACAAAUACUGGCAAUUGGUUCUUUAGUCGCAGUUCAAGUUCUUGCAGUUG